AUUGAACGCUAGCGGCAUGCUUUACACAUGCAAGUCGAACGGUAACAGGCCUAGCUUGCUAGGCGCUGACGAGUGGCGGACGGGUGAGUAACGCGUAGGAAUCUACCUUAUAGUGGGGAAUAACUUGGGGAAACCCAAGCUAAUACCGCAUAAGCCCUAAGGGGGAAAGUAUGGGACCGAAAGGCCAUACGCUAUUAGAUGAGCCUGCGUCGGAUUAGCUAGUUGGUGGGGUAAAGGCCUACCAAGGCGAGGAUCCGUAGCUGGUCUGAGAGGACGACCAGCCACACUGGGACUGAGACACGGCCCAGACUCCUACGGGAGGCAGCAGUGGGGAAGUAUUGGACAAUGGGGGCGAACCCUCGAUCCAGCAAUGCCGCGUGUGUGAAGAAGGCCUGCGGGUUGUAAAGCACUUUCAGUGGGGAGGAAGGCCUUGGUGUUAAUAGCACUGAGGAUUGACGUUACCCAAAGAAGAAGCACCGGCUAACUCUGUGCCAGCAGCCGCGGUAAUA
rnacentral:rRNA from 1 species